AGGAGCCGUAUGAGGCGGAAGCCUCACGUACGGUUUUGAAGCCAAGCCGUUCCAGCGAUGGAACGGCUUAGGGACCGAUAUGAUGAUUGGUUUAGGUACCAAUUUUUGGGCUAAU
rnacentral:ribozyme from 1 species